GGAUUGGAUUUGGGGCUAGAACAUAGAAAGGAAGAGCAGAGAGGAGGCUAUGUGUAUCAUUUUAGGUGUGUUUGGAAGACCACAGAGUAAAUUUUUGACCAUCAGAUGCUUUUACACCUGCGUAAGAUCUAUUGGCAGCCUAUGUCCUGGCACAUAGAGGGAAGGUGAGUAGAUCAAUUCAAGGAGUACCAGAGCAGAAACACAGACACCAAACUUUGCAGAACAACAAA